CAGUGUUGGGAGUAACGCGUUACAAAAGUAAUACAUUGCGGUAACAGAUUAUUUUUUGUUGUAACGCAGUAGUGUAAGGCAUUACUAAUCAAUUUUCAGUAAUAUUUUAAUUGGUACAUGUUCAGUAACGCUGGUGUUACAACACAAUUUUCAC